rnacentral:lncRNA from 10 species
AGGCAGGGCCUCUGCAAGUGAGAUGCAGAUCCAGCCUGUUGGCCACUUAGCACUUGCUUGGCCGCCUGCAGAUCACCUGACCUCUGCUCACCUGUAAAUGGGGGUUGCAGCAGCACUUACCUUCUGGGACUCCUGCAGCUUGAAGGGGCAGCACACACCACAUGCUGAGAAGGCGCCUAACUCAGGCAAGCUUCUCCAACAGCACCACAUCAGAUUAACAUCCAACCUGUACAGGACAUCAAAUCUCCCCAUCCCUCAUUCCAAUGGAAGAAAAGGGAGUCUCUGUCCUAGGGGAGCAAGCACAGGCCUAUCUAUGCAGUUGGCAGUUGGCACUUGACCCAGGUUGGGGAAAGGCCCUUGGAUACAUGCUGGUUUCACCAACCAUCUGUGGGUUGGGUUUGGCCUGGACCCAUGUACCCCAGGAGGCCAGCAGCCCCCUGCAUGGGACAGGACUGGGAGGUGUGUGGGAGGGCUGAGCUUUGAGGGAAGCCAUUAUUUGGCCUCAUGGGAAGUGGUGCAGGUGGUUGUUGGUGGCUCAGUUUUGCAGGGCCUGGGUGAUCACCCAAGGAGUGAAAAUUGCCUUUUUAUGAGAAAUUGCCAAAACUGAUGCAAGCUCAUCCGUUGAAAAGGUAGAAAUAUCGUUUGACUUCUGUUUUGCUGACAAGAAAUAUGGUCCUGAGCAAGGCUCCCUGGGACAAUGACCUCACACAUGGAAAACGCUGGAGCCCAUCUGUCUCCAAUCUGCUGUUUUCCAAAAAUUAGGGAACUUCAGUUUUCCCUUUGAUACUCUGUAUUUCUACCAACCACAACGCCAGGGCUGUCCUGCUUCUACAAGUGACAAUGACAAAUAUAGGCCUGAAGGAAGAUGAGCUGAUGGCAUUCCCAGCUUACUACCACUCCUUGGGUGCCUUAUCUCACAUACGUGGAUUCAACUCAUAGACUCAGCCAUGAGAUGACACAGCCAGAAGGCCCUCACGAGAUGCAGACCCCUCAUCCUUGGAUUUCCUAGCCUCCAGAACUCUAAGA